GCCUCACUGAUUUGGCCAGUGUUUCCCAUAGCCCUUGUUUUACACUUCUUGUAGUGACCCAGGAUUGCCAAGUGCAGAGGCUCGUACGCGACUGAGGAAGCCGCCGAACUGAUGGAAAGAACAAAUUCAUUAAAGACUAUAUUUCAAGAGGACUGAGUGUGGUUAUCAGAAAACAGAAAACACCACUUGAGGUUAAGGUGACAUGAGGAGCAAUCAUUGUGAAUCAUCUAAGAAGCACAGGGAGAAUUAAGAUACUGGUAAAGCACACUUGCCAAAUGCUGAAAAGAAGAUAAACAGCCCUCAGGAGCCGGUGACCUGCAAUGCUGGGCAGUAUGAUCACUGAACUCCAAAGACCAAGCCUCCUGAGCUUCGCUGGCAG